AUGGGAGCUUGCUCCCUGAUGUCAGCGGCGGACGGGUGAGUAACACGUGGGUAACCUGCCUGUAAGACUGGGAUAACUCCGGGAAACCGGGGCUAAUACCGGAUGCUUGAUUGAACCGCAUGGUUCAAUUAUAAAAGGUGGCUUUUAGCUACCACUUACAGAUGGACCCGCGGCGCAUUAGCUAGUUGGGGAGGUAACGGCUCACCAAGGCAACGAUGCGUAGCCGACCUGAGAGGGUGAUCGGCCACACUGGGACUGAGACACGGCCCAGACUCCUACGGGAGGCAGCAGUAGGGAAUCUUCCGCAAUGGACGAAAGUCUGACGGAGCAACGCCGCGUGAGUGAUGAAGGUUUUCGGAUCGUAAAACUCUGUUGUUAGGGAAGAACAAGUACCGUUCGAAUAGGGCGGUACCUUGACGGUACCUAACCAGAAAGCCACGGCUAACUACGUGCCAGCAGCCGCGGUAAUACGUAGGUGGCAAGCGUUGUCCGGAAUUAUUGGGCGUAAAGCGCGCGCAGGCGGUUUCUUAAGUCUGAUGUGAAAGCCCCCGGCUCAACCGGGGAGGGUCAUUGAAAACUGGGGAACUUGAGUGCAGAAGAGGAGAGUGAAAUUCCACGUGUAGCGGUGAAAUGCGUAGAGAUGUGGAGAAACACCAGUGGCGAAGGCGACUCUCUGGUCUGUAACUGACGCUGAGGCGCG
rnacentral:rRNA from 1 species